rnacentral:lncRNA from 1 species
AAGAGGGACUCAGAUCACCUGGAAUUAUGGCAAUGUCUUGCAAGGAUACUUCUGAAAAUCGGGUGUCACGGGAAGCUGAACUUUGCAUCCCAGUUCUGAAACAUACAGCAACCUCAUGGAGACAGAUGCAUCACUCGGCAUUUUGGGGUGGUAGCAAGUUCAGUGACCUGCCAGAUUUCUUAGCAUUAACUUGAAAGAGAAGACACUUAUUUGAUUUGAUUUGAUUUCUACUAGUCAAGUGGGCACCUGGAUUAAGCAGACUCUCCCCCCAGGCACCCCAGAGGCCUCUGACAUCCCUUAUGUCCAGCCCAGACACGGCCUUUCUGUGGCCUCAGCGUAUCUGCCCAGUCCAAUCGGCUAUAGCCAGAAUAAAAAGGGAGGAAGAUCCAAGAGAGGGAAGGAGGCUUUCCCAGCUACUUUCCUGCUAACCAGGGCAGAGGCUGGUCUGCAUCCCCCUAUCCAGGUGGCCCCUGCAGUCAUGGCUUUUCUGCUUCUAGAAGCCAUCCCUGAGAACAUCAUUGCAGAACUCAAAAUACAUUGCAUCAUACAAAAUGAAGUGGAGAAUUAAGGUAAUUAUCCAAUUAUUAAAAACCAUUUCUUAUUCGUUAGCUAAA